rnacentral:rRNA from 1 species
UACGAAGGGGGCGAGCGUUGUUCGGAUUUACUGGGCGUAAAGGGCGCGUAGGCGGCCCUCCUAGUCGCGUGUGAAAGCCCCGGGCUCAACCUGGGAAUUGCGCGCGAAACGGGGGGGCUUGAGUUCGGGAGAGGUGAGUGGAAUUCCUGGUGUAGAGGUGAAAUUCGUAGAUAUCAGGAGGAACACCGGUGGCGAAAGCGGCUCACUGGCCCGAUAUUGACGCUCAUGUACGAAAGCGUGGGGAGCAAACAGG